rnacentral:lncRNA from 1 species
GAAAAAAUAAUCAAUGAAUUAAGGACAAGAAGGUUUCCAGUCAGAAAUCUGCAAGCAAUCUAAGAUUCUCAUCCUAAAGUCUACUACCUUCAAGUUUUCCACUGAGAGUAAAAUUAGCAUGUUCUCCAGUCACCAUUUGGUUCAUGACUCAAUGUCACUAUAAAAA